CUUGAAUUAACCAUAAGAGGUCCAGCCUGCCCAGUGACAUUGUUCAACGGCCGCGGUAUUCUAACCGUGCAAAGGUAGCGUAAUCACUUGUCCUUUAAAUGCGGACUAGUAUGAACGGCCACACGAAAGCUAUGCUGUCUCCUUUUUCUAAUCAGUUAAACUAAUCUCCCCGUGAAGAAGCGGGGAUAGUCGUAUAAGACGAGAAGACCCUAUGGAGCUUUAAACAAUCGAAACACUUGUGCCCAUCUUACAAACUUCCGAUAAUCUACACUUAAUUUCACACUUUGUUUCUAGCUUUAGGUUGGGGUGACCACGGAGAAAAAACAAACCUCCACGCUGAAAGAGUUAAUCUCUAAACAAAAAGCCACAUCUUUAAGUAUUAACACAUUAACCUGAAUUGACCCA
rnacentral:rRNA from 2 species